UAUCCAGCUUGUUACUAUAUGC
rnacentral:miRNA from 1 species